GAAAGGUAAACUCAGGUCAGGUGUCAAAAGGGAAAACGCGAACGUGCGCCUUUCGUCAUUCAGGAAAUUGAGGGAAAACAAGAGGAACCUGGAAAAAGACAACAAAUAACUGCAGCUGCGAUGGACGGCUCCCAGUCGGUUCUCACCCACAGUUCAGAUCGACCGGGACGUGUCUGCUCGGAGGCCACAAUGACUCCUCUGCGGUUUGCAUGGAGUCAACUGUUGUUCGAUGAGAAGGACCACCAGCAGGCUUUGCAUCUUUCUGGACCCCUUUUGUCUGAUGUGUUGGAGAUCAUUUGCAUAUUGAAAACAGUUGCAGAUCAGUCUCUGCUAUCGUGGGAAAGUAGAAAAGGGAAAAUUGACAAAAUGUGAGAUAAUCAGGGGUUAAAGCUGAUUGAUGCAGACCUCUUUGUACU